AGGCGAAACGGCGGUGUCUUUAUCCGCCGUCUGCGGAAGAUUAACCACUCCGCACUGAUGAGCCAGGUUAAA
rnacentral:hammerhead_ribozyme from 1 species